rnacentral:rRNA from 1 species
CCGGGCACCCUAUCUUCGGAUAGAAGCGAGUGGCGAACGGCUGAGUAACACGUGGAGAACCUGCCCCCUCCCCCGGGAUAGCCGCCCGAAAGGACGGGUAAUACCGGAUACCCCGGGGUGCCGCAUGGCACCCCGGCUAAAGCCCCGACGGGAGGGGAUGGCUCCGCGGCCCAUCAGGUAGACGGCGGGGUGACGGCCCACCGUGCCGACAACGGGUAGCCGGGUUGAGAGACCGACCGGCCAGAUUGGGACUGAGACACGGCCCAG